GACGAACGCUGGCGGCGUGCCUAAUACAUGCAAGUAGAACGCACAGUUUAUACCGUAGCUUGCUACACCAUAGACUGUGAGUUGCGAACGGGUGAGUAACGCGUAGGUAACCUGCCUGGUAGCGGGGGAUAACUAUUGGAAACGAUAGCUAAUACCGCAUAAUAUUGAUUAUUGCAUGAUAAUUGAUUGAAAGAUGCUAUUGCAUCACUACCAGCUGGACCUGCGUUGUAUUAGCUAGUAGGUGAGGUAACGGCUCACCUAGGCGACGAUACAUAGCCGACCUGAGAGGGUGAUCGGCCACACUGGGACUGAGACACGGCCCAGACUCCUACGGGAGGCAGCAGUAGGGAAUAUUAGGCAAUGGACGAAAGUCUGACCGAGCAACGCCGCGUGAGUGAAGAAGGUUUUCGGAUCGUAAAGCUCUGUUGUAAGAGAAGAACGGGUGUGAGAGUGGAAAGUUCACACUGUGACGGUAUCUUACCAGAAAGGGACGGCUAACUACGUG
rnacentral:rRNA from 1 species